UACGGAAGGUCCGGGCGUUAUCCGGAUUUAUUGGGUUUAAAGGGAGCGUAGGCCGGAGAUUAAGCGUGUUGUGAAAUGUAGAUGCUCAACAUCUGCACUGCAGCGCGAACUGUUUUCCUUGAGUACGCACAAAGUGGGCGGAAUUCGUGGUGUAGCGGUGAAAUGCUUAGAUAUCACGAAGAACUCCGAUUGCGAAGGCAGCUCACUGGAGCGCAACUGACGCUGAAGCUCGAAAGUGCGGGUAUCGAACAGG
rnacentral:rRNA from 1 species